rnacentral:rRNA from 1 species
UCAUUACCGAGUUCCAGCAACUCCCAACCCUUGCGAACCGUACCCCAGUCUGUUCUCGUUGCUCCCGGCGGGCCGGGGGGGCCGCCAGGCCCCUCCCCCGCCGGGGGCGGCGGGCCACCUGAACCUCUCUCUACCACCGAACUCUGAGCAGAAAACAAAAAUGAAUCAAAACUUUCAACAACGGAUCUCUUGGCUCUGGCAUCGAUGAAGAACGCAGCGAAAUGCGAUACGUAAUGUGAAUUGCAGAAUUCAGCGAACCAUCGAAUCUUUGAACGCACAUUGCGCCUGCCAGUAUUCUGGCAGGCAUGCCUGUCCGAGCGUCAUUUCCCCCCUCACGCGCCCCGCUGCGCGCUGGUGUUGGGGCCCCUCCGCCUGGCGGAGGGCCCCGAAAGCGAGUGGCGGGCCCGGCUGGUUGGCUCCGAGCGCAGUACCGAACACCGUUCUCCCUCGCUCAGCAGCCCCGCCGGCGCCCUGCCGUGAAACACGCACGACGUGCAGACCACAAGGUU